UACGGGAAGGGCAAGCGUUAUCCGGCGUGACUGGGCGUAAAGAGUCCGUAGACGGUAAAGUAAGUUUAUUGUUAAAUGUUAAAACUUAAUUUUAAUAGAGCAAUAAAUACUGCUUUACUUUGAGUUUAGUAUAGAAAAGUAGAAUUUUAUAUGGUAGGGGUGAAAUCCGUAGAUAUAUAAAGGAAUGUCAAUAGCGAAGGCAACUUUUGGUAUAAACUGACGUUGAGGGACGAAAGUGUGGGGAGCAAACAGG
rnacentral:rRNA from 1 species